rnacentral:rRNA from 1 species
AUUGAACGCUGGCGGCAGGCCUAACACAUGCAAGUCGAACGAGUGGCGGACGGGUGAGUAAUGUCUGGGAAACUGCCUGAUGGAGGGGGAUAACUACUGGAAACGGUAGCUAAUACCGCAUACCAUCGGAUGAGCCCAGCGGGGAUGAGCUAGUAGGUGGGGUAACGGCUCACCUAGGCGACGAUCCCUAGCCGGUCUGAGAGGAUGACCAGCCAAACUGGAACGGAGCCACGGUCCGGACUCCUACGGGAGGCAGCAGUGGGGAUUAUUGCACAUGGGGCGAAGUCCUGAUGCAGACAGGCCGCGUGUUUGAAGAAGGCCUUCGGGUUGUAAAGCACUUUCAGCGGGGAGGCGUUACCCGCAGAAGAAGCACCGGCUAACUCCGUGCCAGCAGCCGCGGUAAUUC